rnacentral:misc_RNA from 1 species
AGAGAGAAGGAGGAGAGAAGAGAAAGAAAAAAAAAUAAAAAAAAAUGUAUUUGCAGGUACUGCUUUGCUGCGCCUCGUGAGAGAAGAAGAGAAGAGGAGGAGAGGAGAGAGAGAGGGAGGAAAAAGAGAGAGAGAGAGGAAGGAUGAGUGAAAUACCUGAGGUUGUGCUCUGAUGGACUUCUCCAGCAGCUGUGGCGUGAAAUGGAAACUUAGAGCUUAGGGUUUUUUAAACUUCUGCUAUUUAAAAAAAAAAAUAAAGCAUAAAAAAACAAAAAUGUAACCGUUAUUUCAUCAAGUCGUUGCCUCUGUCGCCUUGUGCUCCUCUGUCUUUUCUUUUUGGGUGCUCACCUCACAGAAUCCAGGCGUGCCUGAGCCAGGCAAAGUGUCACUGGCUCACCUCACCUCACCCAGCUGCUCACCUGACACCUUUUUUCGCCUUUAGCAACACUGGCUCUAAAUAUGCAUCUUAUGACCAUAAUAUCGUGCUUGACUGAAUAUUUACUUUUGUAAGGAAAAUAGGAUUGUUUGACUGCUAUUAUUCAUUUUGCAU